rnacentral:rRNA from 1 species
AGUGAACGCUGGCGGUAGGCCUAACACAUGCAAGUCGAACGGCAGCACAGGAGAGCUUGCUCUCUGGGUGGCGAGUGGCGGACGGGUGAGGAAUACAUCGGAAUCUACUCUGUCGUGGGGGAUAACGUAGGGAAACUUACGCUAAUACCGCAUACGACCUACGGGUGAAAGCAGGGGACCUUCGGGCCUUGCGCGAUUGAAUGAGCCGAUGUCGGAUUAGCUAGUUGGCGGGGUAAAGGCCCACCAAGGCGACGAUCCGUAGCUGGUCUGAGAGGAAGAUCAGCCAGCCUGGAACUGAGACGCGGUCCAGACUCCUACGGGAGGCAGCAGUGGGGAAUAUUGGACAAUGGGCGAAAGCCUGAUCCAGCCAUACCGCGUGGGUGAAGAAGGCCUUCGGGUUGUAAAGCCCUUUUGUUGGGAAAGAAAUCCAGCUGGCUAAUACCCGGUUGGGAUGACGGUACCCAAAGAAUAAGCACCGGCUAACUUCGUGCCAGCAGCCGCCGUAA